rnacentral:misc_RNA from 1 species
GAAAUGCGAUAAGUAAUGUGAAUUGCAGAAUUCAGUGAAUCAUCGAAUCUUUGAACGCACAUUGCUCCCGCCAGUAUUCUGGCGGGCAUGCCUGUCCGAGCGUCAUUUCAACCAUCAAGUCCCCGGGCUUGUGUUGGGGACCUGCGGCUGCCCGCAGGCCCUGAAAACCAGUGGCGGGCUCGCUGUCACACCGAGCGUAGUAGCAAUCACCUCGCUCAGGGCGUGCUGCGGGUUCCGGCCGUUAAACAGCCUUACAAAACCCAAGGUUGACCUCGGAUCAGGUAGGAAGACCCGCUGAACUUAAGC